CGGAACUGGGGUCCGGGCUGCGAUAUGGAGGAGGAGUGGCGGCGCUGCGGCCACCGGGCAGGGAGCGAAGACUGCUGCCAUGUCCUGCCCGUCGUCCACCACACACAGUGGGCUGUCGCUCCAGGACCCUGCUUCAGACGUGCUCUUUCUUCAGUCUUGAAGCUGGGCAAGCACAGGCCUUGUAGGCCUGUGGGGUGCAGCCCAAUAACCACC